UUAGUAAGAGGAGGGAGGGAGCCGACAGUUUAUGAGAAAAGAUGAAGGAGAAAGAAUUAAUGAAUUAAUUGGAACCGAAAAAUUUGAUGGAGAAAAAGUUUGGUAGUGAAAAUAUUCAGAUGUAUUAAUUAAAAAUAUUAAUUGAAAGUUUGAUGAAGAAAAAGCAGAGGGUCAAGUGAAGGACAACUUGCCAUUGAAACUUUGAUAAUGGAAACAUUUAGAUGUAUUAAUUAAAUACAAUAAUUGAAAGUUUAAUUAAGAAAAUAUAGAAAGUCAAAUGAUGGUAAGAGUGAAGUGUUAAUAUACAGAGGAUGAAGAAUAAUUUGCCACAUGAUAAAAAAUAUUGAAGAUUCAUGAAAAUUAAUAGAUUAAUAGAUAAUAGAU
rnacentral:lncRNA from 1 species